rnacentral:rRNA from 1 species
CCCGCCCGUCACAUCACGAAAGUGGAUUGUACUAGAAGUCUGCUGGCUGACCCGAAAGGGAGGCGGCGGCCCAAGGUAUGAUUCAUGAUUGGGGUG